rnacentral:rRNA from 1 species
AAGGCGCGCGAUACAGGGUGACAGCCCCGUACACAAAAAUGCACAUACUGUGAGCUCGAUGAGUAGGGCGGGACACGUGGUAUCCUGUCUGAAUAUGGGGGGACCAUCCUCCAAGGCUAAAUACUCCUGACUGACCGAUAGUGAACCAGUACCGUGAGGGAAAGGCGAAAAGAACCCCGGCGAGGGGAGUGAAAAAGAACCUGAAACCGUGUACGUACAAGCAGUGGGAGCCUCUUUUAUGGGGUGACUGCGUACCUUUUGUAUAAUGGGUCAGCGACUUAUAUUCUGUAGCAAGGUUAACCGAAUAGGGGAGCCGAAGGGAAACCGAGUCUUAACUGGGCGUUAAGUUGCAGGGUAUAGACCCGAAACCCGGUGAUCUAGCCAUGGGCAGGUUGAAGGUUGGGUAACACUAACUGGAGGACCGAACCGACUAAUGUUGAAAAAUUAGCGGAUGACUUGUGGCUGGGGGUGAAAGGCCAAUCAAACCGGGAGAUAGCUGGUUCUCCCCGAAAGCU